AAUGAACGCUGGCGGCAGGCCUAACACAUGCAAGUCGAACGGGCACUUUCGGGUGCUAGUGGCGGACGGGUGAGUAACGCGUGGGAACAUACCCUAUGGUUCGGAAUAGCCCCGGGAAACUGGGAGUAAUACCGGAUACGCCCUUCGGGGGAAAGAUUUAUCGCCAAAGGAUUGGCCCGCGUUGGAUUAGGUAGUUGGUGGGGUAAUGGCCUACCAAGCCGACGAUCCAUAGCUGGUUUGAGAGGAUGAUCAGCCACACUGGGACUGAGACACGGCCCAGACUCCUACGGGAGGCAGCAGUGGGGAAUCUUAGACAAUGGGGGAAACCCUGAUCUAGCCAUGCCGCGUGAUCGAUGAAGGCCUUAGGGUUGUAAAGAUCUUUCAGAUGGGAAGAUAAUGACGGUACCAUCAGAAGAAGCCCCGGCUAACUCCGUG
rnacentral:rRNA from 1 species